rnacentral:tRNA from 1 species
GCCUGGGUGGCUCAGUCGUUUGAGCAUCCGACUUCAGCUCAGGUCAUGAUCUCGUGGUUUGUGGGUUCGAGCCCCGCAUCGGGCU